rnacentral:misc_RNA from 1 species
GAUGAAGAACGCAGCGAAAUGCGAUAGGUAAUGUGAAUUGCAGAAUUCAGUGAAUCAUCGAAUCUUUGAACGCACAUUGCGCCCCCUGGUAUUCCGGGGGGCAUGCCUGUUCGAGCGUCAUUUCACCACUCAAGCCUCGCUUGGUAUUGGGCAACGCGGUCCGCCGCGUGCCUCAAAUCGACCGGCUGGGUCUUCUGUCCCCUAAGCGUUGUGGAAACUAUUCGCUAAAGGGUGUUCGGGAGGCUACGCCGUAAAACAACCCCAUUUCUAAGGUUGACCUCGGAUCAGGUAGGGAUACCCGCUGAACUUAAGCAUAUCAAUAAGCGGAGGA